rnacentral:rRNA from 1 species
UCGAGAAUUUUUCUCAAUGGGGGAAACCCUGAAGGAGCGACGCCGCGUGGAGGAUGAAGGUCUUCGGAUUGUAAACUCCUGUCACCUCAGAGAAAUACCUUUAUUCUAAUAAAGUAAAGGGAGGAUCGUAUGAGGAGAGGAAGGGACGGCUAACUCUGUGCCAGCAGCCGCGGUAAUACAGAGGUCCCAAGCGUUGUUCGGAUUCACUGGGCGUAAAGGGUGUGUAGGAGGUAUGAUAAGUUUGACGUGAAAUCCCACUGCUUAACAGUGGAACUGCGUUGAAUACUAUCGUGCUAGAGGGCUAGAGAGGAGAGCGGAAUUCUUGGUGUAGCGGUGAAAUGCGUAGAUAUCAAGAGGAACACCAGCGGCGAAAGCGGCUCUCUGGAUAGAUCCUGACUCU